rnacentral:lncRNA from 1 species
GCCAUAGCAGUCUAAAGGAGCUUGAAAAUCAUAGUAGUGUGGAAGAGCUUGAUAGUCAUGACUACCCAAAAGAGCUUGAUGAUCAGAACCGUCUGAAUGAUCUUGGUAAUCAUAAAAAUGAUCUUGGUAAUCAUAAAAAUCUAAAAGAGCUUCAUAGUGCUCAAAAUGGCCAAGUUACUGCAGUAACACAUACAGAUGGUUUAAUAGAUGAGCAGUUUAACACUAGAAUAUCUAACAAAG